CGCUUCAUAGCGUCUAUUAAAGUUGUUGCCGUUAAAAAGCUCGUAGUCGAACUUCGGUCCCUGUGGGCCGGUCCGCCUUCUUGGUGUGUACUUGCUCCACGGGGACUUACCUCCUGGUGAGCUGCCAUGUCCUUUACUGGGUGUGGUAGGGAACCAGGACGUUUACUUUGAAAAAAUUAGAGUGUUCAAAGCAGGCCUACGCCCGAAUACAUUAGCAUGGAAUAAUAGAAUAGGACGAGCGUUCCCAUUUUGUUGGUUUCUGAGAUCGCCGUAAUGAUUAAUAGGGAUAGUUGGGGGCAUUUGUAUUCCGUCGUCAGAGGUGAAAUUCUUGGAUUGCCGGAAGACAAACUAUUGCGAAAGCAUUUGCCAAGGAUGUUUUCAUUGAUCAAGAACGAAGGAAGGGGGAUCGAAAACGAUCAGAUACCGUUGUAGUCUCUUCUGUAAACUAUGCCAAUUGGGGAUUAGCUUAGGAUUUUUAAUGACUAAGUUAGCACCCGAAGAGAAAUCUUUAAAUGAGGUUCGGGGGGGAGUAUGGUCGCAAGGCUGAAACUUAAAGGAAUUGACGGAAGGGCACCACCAGGUGUGGAGCCUGCGGCUUAAUUUGACUCAACACGGGGAAACUCACCAGGUCCAGACACAAUAAGGAUUGACAGAUUGAUAGCUCUUUCUUGAUCUUGUGGUUGGUGGUGCAUGGCCGUUCUUAGUUGGUGGAGUGAUUUGUCUGGUUAAUUCCGAUAACGAACGAGACCUUAACCUGCUAAAUAGACCAGCCGACUUUGGUUAGCUGCUGUCUUCUUAGAGGGACUAUCAGCGUUUAGCUGAUGGAAGUUUGAGGCAAUAACAGGUCUGUGAUGCCCUUAGAUGUUCUGGGCCGCACGCGCGCUACACUGACAGAGCCAGCGAGUCUACCACCUUGGCCGGAAGGCCUGGGUAAUCUUGUGAAACUCUGUCGUGAUGGGGAUAGAACAUUGCAAUUAUUGUUCUUCAACGAGGAAUACCUAGUAAGCGUGAUUCAUCAGAUCGCGUUGAGUACGUCCUGACCCUU
rnacentral:rRNA from 1 species